rnacentral:rRNA from 1 species
UACGUAGGUGGCAAGCGUUAUCCGGAAUUAUUGGGCGUAAAGCGCGCGUAGGCGGUUUCUUAAGUCUGAUGUGAAAGCCCACGGCUCAACCGUGGAGGGUCAUUGGAAACUGGGAAACUUGAGUGCAGAAGAGGAAAGUGGAAUUCCAUGUGUAGCGGUGAAAUGCGCAGAGAUAUGGAGGAACACCAGUGGCGAAGGCGACUUUCUGGUCUGUAACUGACGCUGAUGUGCGAAAGCGUGGGGAUCAAGCAGGAUU